ACGGACUUCAUGCUAAUGACGAAGACCUGAGUCGGCCUCGCUCUGGGCAGAAAGAACAAACCCAGCGUGGGUUCCUGCGUUCUUUCUCAAAAGGCCAAGGCCCCACGAACCCUUUUCAGUUGGCGAGGGGCUUGAGGGAAGGGAGGGGCAAGGGCAAAAGCCGGCUGGGGUCUGCAAGCCUGCGGCCCGGCGCGGCGGACUUGCCCCGCUGCUCAGCUUGGCCGCCAGUGUCAGUGCAGGCGAGGCAGUUGCCUUCUCUCCAGCUAGAGAGUGGGGACGCCCCUUCCCUGCUCCCCCAACUGCUCCUCCGGCGCCCCCGGGUCGGCGCCAGAGCCCGGAGGUCCGCACGCCCAGGCUAGAUGACGGUGAGGCGGGCUCUGGGGCCUCCACAGGCCAGGGCGAAUUUAGUCUGCGCAGGCCCCAGCUAAGGGAAGAGGGACCCCAAACCAGACAGACGCUUUUCUUCCCCCCACUCACGCCUUAGUCCCUGUCCAAAUUGCGCGUCUCCGGUAGGACUGACUAUCUGCCCGGCCUCUUUCUGCUGCCAACCUUGCCCGAAACCUAGAUCCCAGACCUGACAGCUCCUGGGACGCUCUAAAAUGUGACUUCAAACCGGAGUGACUCUUGGGAACUAGAUUCGAUAUGACAUGGUCUCAAGGCAUUCCUGGUUUGAAGUUCUUCCAGAAAGUCUGCCAAGCUAAAUCACAAAGGACAAGCAGCUCAGAGAUUAGCGAGUGCUUCUCAGCUGCCCCACAGAAGUACUGGGAGCCAGCCUGAAGAGUUUCCCAGAAGGCCUGAAAGUAUGCAGCAGUUUACCAGAAACAGCCCUGCAUCAUUUUUGUUUUGGAUUCAUCUUCCGGCUUUGUGAUCUUGGGCGAGUUACUUACGAAACUUCAUUGCUUCACAUGCAAAACAAGAGGAGAAAUACCCAUCUUACAACCAUUCCUGUUUCUUUGGCGUGAGAAACAAAGGAGAUAGUGCCGGUAAAAUGUUU